rnacentral:rRNA from 1 species
UCUGAGCCAUAUCACCCUGCAGCCCAAGACUGGUUGCCCACUGAAGCUAAGCAGGGUUGAGUCUGGUCAGUACCUGGACGGGAGACCUCCUGGGAAAACUAGGUUGCUGUUGGAA